GUGCCAUGUCAGCCCUCCCGAUUCAGAUGUCCGAUGGGAAGACUUUGGCAGAGGGCCGACGGGAGGCGGGAGGAGCGACGUUGGCACUCUCCCGGCAAAAUCCAUCUCUAUCAGCCUCGGAAGCCGUCUCUCGUCUCAUCUCUGGAAUUUGGAGCGAAGAGAAGGUGUUUGCACGUCCUCAGAGAGGUGAUGGUCGAGAACCAAACACAAGCUGCUACCUGCCGCCGAACAAAAACGGUGGACACAUUUCUGAAUCCGGUCUUCUUUCAUCCUUCGGGGGUGUGCUCGGGUUAUCUCGCGGCUCAAAGACCCUGGGUCUUGAUUACAGGUUUUAAACUCCACUAAAGAACCAGUUGAGCACAG
rnacentral:lncRNA from 1 species